rnacentral:misc_RNA from 1 species
GAUGAGGAACGUAGCGAAAUGCGAUAAGUAAUGUGAAUUGCAGAAUUCAGUGAAUCAUCGAAUCUUUGAACGCAUCUUGCGCUCCUUGGUAUUCUGAGGAGCAUGCCUGUUUGAGUGUCAUUAAAUUCUCAACUACACUGACUUUGAAUUGGUGUGGCUUGGAUUUGGGGGGAAAAUUGUUGUGGGCUUUUUGUAUAGUCUGCUCCCCUGAAAUUGAUUAGCGGUACCUUUGUGGAACUGUCUACAGGUGUGAUAAUUAUCUACAUCUUAGACAUCUGCUGGAAUGCUGCUUUCUAAACCUUACUUGUAUUGACAAUCUUGACCUCAAAUCAGGUAGGACUACCCGCUGAACUUAAGCAUAUCAAUAAGCGGAGGA